AGGACGAACGCUGGCGGCGUGCUUAACACAUGCAAGUGGAGCGACGAACCAGGGCUUGCCCUGGGGCAGAGCCGCGAACGGGUGAGUAACACGUGGGUUACCUGCCUCGAUGACCGGGACAACCCGAGGAAACUCGGGCUAAUACCGGAUGUGCCCGCAAGGGGAAAGGAAGCUUCGGCCUCCGCAUCGAGAUGGGCCCGCGGCCCAUUAGCUUGUUGGUGAGGUAACGGCUCACCAAGGCUUCGAUGGGUAGCUGGUCUGAGAGGACGAUCAGCCACACUGGGACUGAGACACGGCCCAGACUCCUACGGGAGGCAGCAGUGGGGAAUCUUGCGCAAUGCGCGAAAGCGUGACGCAGCAACGCCGCGUGGGGGAAGAAGGCUUUCGGGUUGUAAACCCCUUUCAGUUGGGACGAAGCUUCGUCGGUGAAUAGCCGGCCGGAGUGACGGUACCUUCAGAAGAGCCCCGGCUAACUACGUGCCAGCAGCCGCGGU
rnacentral:rRNA from 1 species